rnacentral:rRNA from 1 species
AACGAACGCUGGCGGCGCGCCUAAUACAUGCAAGUCGAGCGAGAAGACGUAGCAAUACGUUUGUAAAGCGGCGAACGGGUGAGGAAUACAUGGGUAACCUACCCUCGAGUGGGGAAUAACUAGCCGAAAGGUUAGCUAAUACCGCGUACGCUCCUUGGACUUCGGUUCAGGGAGGAAAGCGAUACCGUGGGUAUCGCGCUCUUGGAUGGGCUCAUGUCCUAUCAGCUUGUUGGUGAGGAACGGCUCACCAAGGCUUCGACGGGUGGCUGGUCUGAGAGGACGAUCAGCCACACUGGCACUGCGACACGGGCCAGACUCCUACGGGAGGCAGCAGUAAGGAAUAUUGCGCAAUGGGCGAAAGCCUGACGCAGCGACGCCGCGUGGGGGAUGAAGGUCUUCGGAUUGUAAACCCCUUUCGGGAGGGAAGAUGGAAUGGGGUAACCCAUUCGGACGGUACCUCCAGAGCAGCCACGGCUAACUUCGUGCCAGCAGCCGCAGUAAG